UCAAACUAAUUCUGCUCAGCCAAAUUUUUUCAAACAAAAUUAGGUUAAGAUCAGACAUUCAAUUCUGUAUCAGCCUUGGACAAUAAGAAUAAAAGCAAAAGGCAGAAAUCCAGAAUCGACUCAGGUGAAAACCAGUGAGUUAAUGGAGAAAAGAGUAAUUUAGGAAAUCACAAAUAACUGACAAUCGGCUCCGCAGAACAUUCUGAAAUUUGGAUCGAGUUCCUCAAUUAGGGUUCUUGAAGUUGGAUCAAAAUAUGAGC